CAGGAACAAAGUGAGUGCAGCCAUGCGUCAUGCAACAACAGGAAGGUUUCCUCCUCUCUCUCGCUGCGUAGCUCCCCUCCAAGUUACAGGAGUGUCUGGUACUCUCUCCAAGGGUGGAGGAUUAUGGAUGUGGAACACUGCAUAUCACAUUUGACGUGGUUAAUAUUUUGGGCCAUGGUGGUAAAGAAAACCACAAAAUGAUGAUGUUGCUCAAGGCCGUUAAAUGCCAUCAAGAUGUUGACAAGAUAAAGCUUCAUUUUCUGUGGAAAAGAGACCAAUUUGCAUCUUGCAUGGAAUUCUUUUUAAAAUUUUUUUCAUUUAUUUUGUUUGAAAAUCACCUACAUUUCAGAAUGUAUCCUUCCCUCUCCCAGAUAGUUAUUCCUUAUAACAAAGAAUAAAAAAGAGAAAAAAAUCAGGAAAAAUUAACCAAAACAUCAAUCAAGUCCAAUGUUACAUGUAGUAUUCCAUAUUCGUAGGCCCCUACCUCUACAAAAAUGGGAGGUGAAAUGGCAGGUAUUUUUAAAUAUUUUUUUGGGGGGGACCAAACAAUGUCCUGUUUUGAUCGUUUACUCAUUCUUUCCAUUUACAUUAAUUUUUUGCACUGUUUCUCUGAUUCUGCUUAUUUUGCAUCAUAAAAUUCUCGUGCUUCCCUAUAUUAACCAUAAC